rnacentral:rRNA from 1 species
GUCCACGCUGUAAACGAUGUCUGCUAGCCGUUGGGGUCCUUGAGGCCUCGGUGGCGCAGCUAACGCGAUAAGCAGACCGCCUGGGGAGUACGGCCGCAAGGUUAAAACUCAAAUGAAUUGACGGGGGCCCCGCACAAGCGGUGGAGCAUGUGGUUUAAUUCGAUGCAACGCGAAGAACCUUACCACCCCUUGACAUCCAGAGAACUGUCCAGAGAUGGACGGGUGCCUUCGGGAACUCUGAGACAGGUGCUGCAUGGCUGUCGU